rnacentral:tRNA from 1 species
GCGCGGUUAGCUUAGUGGAAGAGCGCUACCUUGACACGGUAGAGGUCACAGGUUCGAGCCCUGUAUCGCGCACCA